AUGGCGGGCGCCCCUCCCCCAGCCUCGCUGCCGCCUUGCAGUUUGAUCUCAGACUGCUGUGCUAGCAACCAGCGAGACUCCGUGGGCGUAGGACCCUCCGAGCCAGGUGCGGGAUAUAAUCUCGUAGUGCGCCGUUUUUUAAGCUGGUCCGAAAAGCGCAGUAUUCGGGUGGGAGUGACCCGAUUUUCCAGGUAUUCUCCACUGGUUGAAUGCAAAUGGAAGCCAGAGGAAAAGGGAACCCUUGACACAGUUUUCAUAUAGAUUGGCCUCCAGAGCAGACAGCAGUUGCUCUGGCUAUAUCAAAUAAAAGUGUCAAGAGUGAGCAUCCUUGCCUUGUGCUGAAUCACAAAGGAAUACCUUUCAGUUUUUCUCCAUUGAUUAUGAUAGCAGUGGGCUUUUCACAGUGGGCUUUAUUGUGUUGAGGUACCCUAAUGACAAGUUCACCCCAGUGUUUUCUGAGGAGUCUACCUGGAAAUGAGAACCAUCUGUCCUUCCUAUAGUAGUUCUUCUCAGAAUGCCGACUCUAUGCUAAUG
rnacentral:sRNA from 1 species